GUGCCUAGUCUGAAGUUGCCUUAGUCCAGGACACAGCCGACCAGGAUGGCUCUAAUAGAGGGGGUGGGUGAUGAGGUCACCCUGCUCUUUGGAGUGGUGUUCCUGGUGCUCGUCCUGGUUCUGGCCUGGGCCUCCACUCACACUGUUGAACCCCCUGAACACCUCCUCUCACCCAGCCCAGGGACCUCCCCCUCCACAGAGACUGACAGCCAGGAGCCGCUCCCCUCAGGUAACACGGACUCGUCACCCAGCGAGAACAGCGAGAACGAUAAGAGUGAACCUGGAACAGAAGCGGGAGCGGCGGGACAGUCCCCGGAUGCUAGUAGGGCUGGAGGAGGUGAGGGAGGCCUCCUGGAAGAAGCAGGGAUUGGGAGGAAUGAGUUGAGACAUCGAGAAUCAGCGGGUCCCUCGACUCAAACUCCAGCCAGCGCCCCAAGUGCCACACAGCCUUUGGCCGAAGAUCCACCGAAUGACACCCAAAGAAACAUGGUGCUCAGGCUGAAGUUCUUGAAUGAUACAGAGAGGACUGCACAGGUGAAUCUUCAAGACACCAUUGGCUACAUUAAACGGACUUACUUUGCUGGACAGGAGCACCAGGUACGUCUGAUUUACCAGGGUCAGCUCCUUCAGGAUGAUGCUCAGACGCUGGCCUCUCUCAACCUGGCCGACAACAGUGUUCUGCACUGCCACAUCUCCCAGCACGCCACACGGGCCAUGCCUGCCGGGGCACGGGCUGCUGACCAGGUGCAUGUGGCGCUCAACAUGGGCAGCCUCAUGGUGCCUCUGUUCGUGCUUAUGCUGUCUGUGCUCUGGUACUUCCAGAUCCAGUACCGGCAGUUCUUCACUGCACCUGCCACCGCCUCACUCGUGGGCAUCACCAUCUUCUUUAGUUUUGUUGCGUUUGGGGUGUAUCGCCGUUGAUGGCUGUUUCUGUCCACUCAUAUUCAGCAUUUACGUGUUUGCGCACAUACAGAUACACAUUCUUUGCACUUGCUCACUCACCAGUGCCAGUGGCAAUGUCUUCUGGGAAUUCUGGACUUUUCAGGUUUGCUGAAGACUGUGAUUUCAGAGAAACAUCUCUGAGGUCGUCUUGUUUUUUUUUGUUUUUUUCCUUGUUUUUUUUUGGUUCAUCACUUUUGCCAUUUUUCAUCUGCACCAAGUUUAUGCUUGUCACGGAUUGAAAUAUGCUAUAUAUUUGAUUUUUAAAAAAAGAAAAAUAGAGAUGAUUGUGCCUGUCCUCUUUUUCUCAUGUGCAUGCUGCCAGUGUGAAACUGGGGCUUGCUUGUAAGAGGGUAUGUGAAUUAAAGGUGUUUGAGUUUCAAGCGGGGCUCGUCUGGCUGUCUGCCAGACUCAAACUGUAGUAAAGCAGUUCAGCUAGAGCUGCUCUUAUGUGUUGGGACAAUUAAAAUAAUUUGUGUACAAUAAGGCUUUUGAAAUGGAGAUAUAAUCUAUUAAAUCAUUCUUUUUAUUUA